rnacentral:rRNA from 1 species
CACAUAACACAUCCGCCCGGGGACUACAAACAAAAGUUUAAAACCCAAAGGACUUGGCGGUGCUUAAUAUCCACCUAGAGGAGCCUGUUCUAUAACCGAUAAUCCCCGUUCAACCUCACCCCCCCUUGCCAUAACCCGCUUAUAUACCGCCAUCGUCAGUCCACCCUGUGAAGGCCCCACAGUCGACAAAACCGCAACAACCCCAAACGUUAGGUCGAGGUGUAGUACAUGGGGAGGGAAGAAAUGGGCUACAUUUGCUACAAAGCACAUUACGAAUGUUGUCUUGAAAUACACAACUAAAGGAGGAUUUAGCAGUAAGCAGAAAAUAGAGCGUUCUGCUGAAGCCGGCACUUAAGCGCGCACACACCGCCCGUC